rfam:Rattus norvegicus chromosome 11, whole genome shotgun sequence.
GGGGAUUUAGCUCAGCGGUAGAGCGCUUGCCUAGCGAGCACAAGGCCCUGGGUUCGGUCCCCAGCUCCA